AGAGUUUGAUCCUGGCUCAGGAUGAACGCUAGCGGCAGGCUUAACACAUGCAAGUCGAGGGGCAGCAUGUCCAGCAAUGGAUGAUGGCGACCGGCGGAAGGGUGCGUAACGCGUGAGCAACAUGCCCUAUACAGGGAGAUACACCAGGGAAACUUGGUCUAAUAUCCCAUAGCAUUCAUUGAAGGCAUCUUUAAUGAAUUAAAGCUUCGGUGGUAUAGGAUUGGCUCGCGUGACAUUAGCCAGAUGGUGAGGUAACGGCUCACCAUAGCAAUGAUGUCUAGGGGUUUUGAGAGGAAGGCCCCCCACACUGGGACUGAGACACGGCCCAGACUCCUACGGGAGGCAGCAGUGAGGAAUAUUGGUCAAUGGAGGCAACUCUGAACCAGCCAAGUCGCGUGAAGGAUGACUGCCCUACUGGUUGUAAACUUCUUUUUUAAGGGAAUAAAGUGAGCCACGUGUGGCUUUUUGCAUGUACCUUACGAAUAAGGAUCGGCUAACUCCGUGCCAGCAGCCGCGGUAAUACGGAGGAUCCGAGCGUUAUCCGGAUUUAUUGGGUUUAAAGGGUGCGCAGGCGGAAUAUUAAGUCGGCGGUGAAAGUUUGCAGCUUAACUGUAAAAUUGCCGUUGAAACUGGUUUUCUUGAGUGUAUAUGAAGUAGGCGGAAUUUGUAGUGUAGCGGUGAAAUGCAUAGAUAUUACAAGGAACUCCGAUUGCGAAGGCAGCUUACUAAAAUACAACUGACGCUCAGGCACGAAGGCGUGGGUAUCAAACAGGAUUAGAUACCCUGGUAGUCCACGCAGUAAACGAUGAUUACUCGCUGUUUGCGAUACACAGUAAGCGGCUUAGCGAAAGCGUUAAGUAAUCCACCUGGGGAGUACGUUCGCAAGAAUGAAACUCAAAGGAAUUGACGGGGGCCCGCACAAGCGGAGGAACAUGUGGUUUAAUUCGAUGAUACGCGAGGAACCUUACCCGGGCUUGAAAUGCAUUUGACCGACUCAGAAAAGGGUCUUCCCUUCGGGGCAAAUGUGUAGGUGCUGCAUGGUUGUCGUCAGCUCGUGCCGUGAGGUGUCGGCUUAAGUGCCAUAACGAGCGCAACCCUCAUCAUUAGUUGCUAACAGGUUAAGCUGAGGACUCUAGUGAGACUGCCAUCGUAAGAUGCGAGGAAGGUGGGGAUGACGUCAAAUCAGCACGGCCCUUAUGUCCGGGGCGACACACGUGUUACAAUGGAUGGUACAACAGGCAGCUACUAGGUGACUAGAUGCUAAUCCCAAAAACCAUUCUCAGUUCGGAUCGAAGUCUGCAACUCGACUUCGUGAAGCUGGAUUCGCUAGUAAUCGC
rnacentral:rRNA from 1 species